UCGGUAAGGCUUAUGCGAUCUGGCCGCAAUCCUCAAAAGAUUGCCCGUUUGUCGCGGUUGAUCCGCUCGAACGCGCAAGUCGGGAUUGUCCGGCCAGCCAAGUUGCGCGACACUCCCGUCCACGGGGGGCCGCGNNAUCAGGACUUCAGCCACGACCAGACUGACCGACGCGCAGCGCAUCGACUGGCUGCGGCUGAUCCGUUCCGACAAUGUCGGACCACGCACAUUUCGCUCGCUCGUCAAU
rnacentral:misc_RNA from 1 species